CACCGCGGUUAUACGAUAGACCCAAGUUGACAGCCUUCGGCAUAAAGCGUGGUUAAUAAAACUUAAACUAAAGUCGAACCUCUUCAAGGCUGUUAUACGCUUACGAAAGAGAGAAGCCCAACAACGAAAGUGACUUUAAAACUUAUGAGCCCACGAAAGCUAGGAAAA
rnacentral:rRNA from 1 species